rnacentral:rRNA from 1 species
AUUGAACGCUGGCGGCAUGCCUUACACAUGCAAGUCGAACGGCAGCACGGGAGCUUGCUCCUGGUGGCGAGUGGCGAACGGGUGAGUAAUACAUCGGAACGUACCCUGAAGUGGGGGAUAACGUAGCGAAAGUUACGCUAAUACCGCAUAUUCUGUGAGCAGGAAAGAGGGGGAUCGCAAGACCUCUUGCUUUAGGAGCGGCCGAUGUCGGAUUAGCUAGUUGGUGAGGUAAAGGCUCACCAAGGCGACGAUCCGUAGCGGGUCCGAGAGGAUGAUCCGCCACACUGGAACUGAGACACGGUCCAGACUCCUACGGGAGGCAGCAGUGGGGAAUUUUGGGACAAUGGGCGCAAGCCUGAUCCAGCCAUGCCGCGUGAGUGAAGAA